CCGGUUAAAAAGUUACGUGAGCUGGGUUCAAACCGUCGUGAGACAGGUUGGUCCCUAUCUACCGCAGGCGUUGAGUUUUGAGGGGAUUUGUUCCUAGUAAAAAUUUGCUACUUCGUAAAGUAAUUUACGAUGACAAUUCGGCUAAUAACGGUGAAACCUUAAUAAUUAUGGUCUGUUGAUAACCAUUAUUGAAUUCGGUCCAAGGAUAAUGGUACAAUUAACUUGAGGACCAAUAAUUAGUUAAGACAAUACCGUGGGAAGUCAAUCUAAAAUAAAUUUAGCGUAUAUAGCAGGUUUUCUCGAUGGUGAUGGCAGUCUUAUGCUUCAAAUUAAAAAGCGUAAAGACAGCAAACUAAAGAGACGAUUUAUGUGUACUAUCUGUUUUUAUCAAGAUAGUCGCCACGAAAAAUCUCUUUAUUGGAUUAGAAAAAUUCUUGGGAUUGGUUAUAUCUCUCGUCGAAACGACGGGAUGACCGAGCUAAGAAUAAAUGGUUUUAAACAAAUCAAAGAUAUUUUGAAAGAUUUAUUACCAUUUAUUAGAUUUAAAAAAGAACAGGCGAAAGCAUUAUAUAAUGCCGCCGACCUUUUAAAUCAAAAAGAAUCUAGGUUAUUAAAUAAAAAUGAUUUGCUAAAAUUAGCAGACCAUAUAAUAACAAUCCAAAAAAAUAAUUACGUCACCAGAAAAAAGAAAACUAAAGCAGAUAUUUUAAAAAUUUUAGGUUUGACCCCGUAACGACUGAGUCCCGCCAUUGGCGGGACAAGAUAGUGGUGAAAAAUCCGCUAUAAUACGCCGACGCCCUAAUUCAAAAUUGGAUGGGUGAAGAUAUAGUCUAUGCACGUGGUGACACGUGGUUUAAAACAUGACGAGAGGACCGGAAUGAACUGACCUCUGGUGUAUCAGUUGUCCUGCCAAGGGCAUUGCUGAGUAGCUAAGUCGGGAAUGGAUAAGCGCUGAAAGCAUAUAAGCGCGAAACCAACCCCAAGAUGAGAACUCUUAGAUUUCCCGCAGAUGACGGGAUUGAUAGGCUCCAGGUGUAAGCUCGGUAACGAGUUCAGCCGGGGAGUACUAAUAAAUCAUUUUAUCCUUCGAU
rnacentral:ncRNA from 1 species